rnacentral:sRNA from 1 species
AAAGGUUUUCUGAGGGGAAGAGUGGUGAGAUCUGGGCUUUAAAAGAUGAAUCGAGAUGCAGUGUGUAGGAAGUAUGGGCAAGGGAUGAGGAACGCCACUUUGAAAAUUACUAAAACUAAAGCAAGUGGUUAAGAGUGUGAAUGACCCUGGCUGCAAUGACUACGCCUGCUGGGCUUCUAUUAAAAUUAGACUCUAUUUCCUGAGCACCCACAAAUGGACCUGACAAAGGGAAGACACAGAUGUACUGCGUGAUGAGGAAAGCCUAUCAGGAUUAAAAUAUGGCUGUGAGUAACUGUGGUCCUUCUUUAUACUUAAAAUAGCUGCCAUGUGUUAUUAUGAAGGCUUCUGAUGGUGGUAUCAAAAUCCUUUGAAAUAAUAGACUUGCACAGAUUUCCCUGGUCAUCUAAAAGAAAGAUGUCAUUAUUCAGUUAAAAGCAAACUUGCACAUUUUCUAAGAAUCAUUUUUACCAAAAAGGGACAUUUUACUGCGAGACAGACAUUUAAAAAUUUACAUGUCUUGAGAUAUUUUUGUAUUGUGGUAGCAAAAUGAUU